GGCGCUAUAGCCAAGUGGUUACGGCGACAGAUUCGAAUUACGAUGCUUAUGUAAGCGUCACGUGAUCUGUUUCACUUUGUGAGCGCAGGUUCAAAUCCUGCUGGCGUCG
rnacentral:tRNA from 1 species